GUGACUUUAAUGUGGCGAAUUUGCCGUUUCCGGUCUGAAAAUUCUAAACAUCCGGUGAACAUGUAGUGUUUAAAACAAGACCUUAAAAAAUGUAUCGUAUUCCGUAUCAAACAGUUCGGACAUUUUUACCGUCACUUUUCAAAAUUCGAGGAGUACAUAUUUUUAAUAUUUUAAUUUUCUUCUUUUGUUUUCAAAUGUAUAAAUGUUGCGAGAAUAGUUAUAUCGAUGAGUUUCAGAUGUCAAGUUGUAAUGGUGAAAGUGAAGUAGACAAAGCUCGAACAGCAGUGAAAAAUGCAUUAAAACCUACAAUAUUUUCAAAGAUACUGGAUAAAACAAUACCAGCUGAUAUAUUGUAUGAAGAUAAUAAAUGCAUGGCAUUCAGAGAUGUAGCACCUCAGGCUCCAGUACAUUUUUUGGUGAUACCUAGAAAAGUUAUUCCUUCCUUGAGUGAUGCUCAAGAUGAAGAUACUGAGCUUUUAGGUCAUUUAUUGCAAGUUGCUAGAAAGGUUGCUGAAAGAGAAGAUUUGUCUAAUGGUUAUAGAGUUGUAAUCAACAAUGGAAAAGAUGGCUCCCAAUCUGUUUAUCAUUUGCAUAUACAUGUUCUGGGAGGAAGACAAAUGCUGUGGCCUCCAGGUUAAAUUUUACAUAUCACAUAUGCAUCUGGUUCAUACAAUGCCGUGAAAAAUGACAGAUAAAAUACAAUUGCUUUGAAGAGAUAAAGCAGUUCAAAAUACAAUGUAAAAUUACAUUCAAGGUUCCACAUGUGCUCCGAAAGCUGUCCAUAAAAAUAUGCAUAAUGUCCUGGAAUUUUAUUAAAAUUAUGUCCUGGAAUUUUUGAAUUGAAACUCUGACCCCU